rnacentral:misc_RNA from 1 species
CAAAGACUUGCCGAAACUGAUACCAAAGCUGAGGAUCGGACUAUCAAGAUCAACAAGCCAGAUAAUGCAGCCGGUGAUGGCAAACCUGCGGAGAAAUCGGCCUGCUGCGGAUCCUAAGCGACUAACUGGUGAUGGUGGUUGAAUCAAUUGGGAACUAAUUUGCAUGUUAUAGUCAAAUGGACAGAUGAAGAUAUUGGUGCUUGUAAUUUUAAUCCCAGUAUAUUUUUCGAGUACUAGUGUGCCUUUCAAUUGAA